ACAACUUUAUUAUGCUAAGCUUCAGUUCACUGUGUUCUCGCUCUGUGGCAUGCGUUUUGGAAGUGGGUGGUAGAGAUGUCAAUUGCACGGACACAUUUUUCUUUGCACUGUGGUUGAAAAGUGAAAUCACAAGGCUUAGAGGUGUUUCUGUUUGACUAGUUGAUUUCCCUGCCAUGAAAUGCAUAUGUAUACAUUCAUUGUUGAAAAUAGGAGAAACUGUGUAAAGUGUACUCAAGCGGAACCAAUGAAGGGGCAAAGGGUAAUUCUGAAGGAGGUGGAGAACAUCACAGCUCAGGUGGGAGCUCUUGUAUGAAGAGUAGUAGAAGAAAGCCACUGUUGGGAGGGGAAAUCAGGUUUGACAGUAUAUCUAGCACUGCUCACACUUUGGAUACCAGCCCUACAGUGAAGCACGAUGGUGAUCUCCCCACCCCUCGCAUAUGUAAUUUAAAACUUGAACAAGAAUGAAACACACUGUGUGUAAUAAUUUAAAAGUUUAGAUUAACCACAUAAAAAAACUUUUCUUGUUACUUACUUAUAAUACAUCACAUUAUGCAUAAUAUUAAAACUGUGGUAAUUAUUUUCAAAUAUAUAAACUGAUUUCUGUGGGUCAUUAUUCUAGAUCCCUAUUUUCUGCUUUAUAGACAUAUAUAAGGAAAAAAUAGCCAAAAAAAAUGUGAUUUAUUUUUGGACUAAGAAAAUCUCAAAUAUUUCUACUUUUACUUGUUUUACUGUUCUUUACACUGUUUUAAACUGUAUAUGUAAUAGGGUUUAUAUAAGUGAUGAACAAAGAGUGUAAUUGCUUUCUAUGUAUUGGUGGAAAGGAACAACAAUAAAUGUGUUUCUGGCAGGGCUCAACAAAAGUAAUUAUGCUUUUUGUACCUUUAUGCAUUGUAAAAAAUGUUUUAUUUGACUUGACAUUCUAUUGUCUAAUACCCCACAUUAACACCUAAUGCACAAGUAUUAGACAAAAUGUAUUUCUCUGCUCAAUUCAAUUAAUAAACAAAUGUAAUAGACUCAUUUGUUUGAAAAUGUGUAGUUCACAUUUUUUAUAGUAUUUUCCCCACUUACUUUCAAAUCAAUGAAUAAACUAGUUAUUUAACAAAUACUAAUAGAAAAUAAUGUAUAACAAAAAUUGCUCAAGUCUGUUAUGUAGCCACCCGAUUAUGUAGCCAUUCUUCUUUUCAAUAAGUGCCAUGAGCCUUUAAUACAUUGAAUCUGUUUCUUGAUCUGUUCACAAUCAUUAUGAGGUGACCAUCAUAGCCUCCUUAAUGCUGUACAAAGAGGUGAAAUGUUUUCUUUCACUAAAGAUACCAUCCCUGAGAAUGGCCCAGAAGUUCUUAAUAUGAUUUGAGUUAGGUGAAGAAGGGGUCAGGUUGUUGUCAUCUUUGAUGCCUUUGCUGGCUAGCCAAGCACUAGUGUGCCUUGGUGUAUGCGAUUCAGCAUUGAGCAUUGAUUCUCUUUUAAGGUCAUGGCCUUCUUGGAUGUUAGGGACUUCUUCCUGUACCACAACAUGAAGAGUGUGUCUUCUAGUAGGUUUUGGGGGUUGGAAUUUUAGUCCAUCUUCAACCCGAAGCGUCCAACACACUACCACAUUACCCCUUCUCGACCUGUGGCUUGCUUGAAUCGAUACUGUGUCCAUUAGUGAUCCACCCAUAUGGUUCGUUUAGAGUCACUCUUAUUAAAUCUGUCCAUAUAACCUUUAAGAACUCGGUCUUCAACUAUUUCUUGGCUCAGUUAUGACACUUCAGUUUGUGUCUCUGGGUGCUUCAGACGUGCACUAUGUAUUUCUGAACAUUCAGUAAAGGUUGCAGUUCUAAAAUAUGUUAACCUCACUUUUGCAGUCGACAUGCACCUUUUCUUUGCCAUACUUUAGUUUAAGAACCUGUCAAUUAUUUGUUACAUAGAUGUGCAGUUUGACUUCUUAGUCUCAUUUAAAACUCUUUUUGUCCAAUUUACCUGAUAUAGAAAAGCUGACUAAUAGUUAUGCACACCUUAAAUAUGGUGUUAGUGGAUCCCUGGUUGUCUAGUGGUUAGGAUGCGGCCCGGGUUCGAUCCCCGGUCAGGGAACCAACCUCAGCCAUUAGGGUUGCACAAGCCUUAGUGCCGGUCCCAAGCCUGGAUAAAUUGGGA